UGGGGAAUAUUGGACAAUGGAGGGAACUCUGAUCCAGCAAUUCUGUGUGUGUGAAGAAGGUUUUAGGACUGUAAAACACUUUUAGUAGGGAAGAAAAAAAUGACGGUACCUACAGAAGAAGCAACGGCUAAAUACGUGCCAGCAGCCGCGGUAAUACGUAUGUUGCGAGCGUUAUCCGGAAUUAUUGGGCUUAAAGGGCAUCUAGGCGGUAAGACAAGUUGAAGGUGAAAACCUGUGGCUCAACCAUAGGCUUGCCUACAGAACUGUUGAACUAGAGUACUGGAAAGGUGGGUGGAACUACACGAGUAGAGGUGAAAUUCGUAGAUAUGUGUAGGAAUGCCGAUGAUGAAGAUAACUCACUGGACAGAAACUGACGCUGAAGUGCGAAAGCUAGGGGAGCAAACAGG
rnacentral:rRNA from 1 species